UACGUAGGGCGCAAGCGUUGUCCGGAAUUAUUGAGCGUAAAGAGCUCGUAGGCGGUCUGUCACGUCGGCUGUGAAAACUCGGGGCUCAACCCCGAGCCUGCAGUCGAUACGGGCAGACUAGAGUGCGGUAGGGGAGACUGGAAUUCCUGGUGUAGCGGUGAAAUGCGCAGAUAUCAGGAGGAACACCGGUGGCGAAGGCGGCUCACUGGCUCGUUUCUGACGCUCAGGCGCGACAGCGUGGGGAUCAAACAGG
rnacentral:rRNA from 1 species